rnacentral:lncRNA from 1 species
AAGAGUGCACCACCGGCCGACGAAGAGUGCGGUGUCGUCGCCGACGCUCGUCACCUCCGACCACCGCGCCGUGACGAGGUUGGCCUUGAACACGUGCGAACUUGGUCGCGCCGUCUCCCGUGACCGCUCUGUGGAUCAUCAGCAGCCUGUCGCCGGACACGAACAGGUACUGCGUCGCCGGUGGUGGCGCCUUCUUGCGCCGUCUCGCCGGCACGGCGUGGGAGGCCUUGAUGACGCGCCUGUCCCAGGCCACCGUCGGCUCGCCGGUGCGGCCGUCCUCGCCGGUAGGCAUGGCGAAGAGCUCGCCGGUGUCCUCGACGGCGCACACCUUGCCGUCG